UACGUAGGGUGCGAGCGUUGUCCGGAAUUAUUGGGCGUAAAGGGCUCGUAGGCGGUUUGUCGCGUCGGGAGUGAAAUCCACUGGCUUAACUGGUGGCUUGCUUUCGAUACGGGCAGACUGGAGGUAUGCAGGGGAGAACGGAAUUCCUGGUGUAGCGGUGAAAUGCGCAGAUAUCAGGAGGAACGCCGGUGGCGAAGGCGGUUCUCUGGGCAUGUCCUGACGCUGAGGAGCGAAAGUGUGGGGAGCGAACAGG
rnacentral:rRNA from 1 species